GCGAAGUGCUGUCAGUGUCAAAGUACUCAAAGUCAAAUUUACAUUAAUUUGUUGUACAAAAGAAUAUAAAAAUUGUUAAAUUAACUGUAUAACUUAUUUAAUUUCGUUCCGUUCACUUAAACCCCAUUCAAUAUUGCUGAAGUAACAUGGGCAUAGAAAACAUGCGUCGUUGGCCUAUGUACAUCGUAUUUGCUGUGUGUAUUUUAUUGUUACUUUCACUAUUUAAUAGUUGGAGUGCGGAGACUGAAUUGCGAAACAGAGUUUCGGAGAUAAGUACACAACUUCAGGAAUGCUCCAAGCAACAGACAUCUUGCAUGGAAGAAUCUUUAACUUUACUUGAACAGCGCGACGGAUAUGUGAUCAAAGUGAACGAAUUAGAUAAACAAAAAUCUAAAUUAGUUGACGACGUCGAAGAAUUUAAGAGUAAGCUGUCGAAGUCUGAGGGCCAGGUGAAUCACACGAAGGUGGAUGUGGAGCUAUGUAAGACAGAGUUACAGUCAUUGAAGAACUUGCAAGUGAGUAAGACUGCCAUAAUAGAAACAUUAAGGUUAGAGAAAGAUACCUUGACAACUCAGUUAGCUGAGAGGAAGCAGAAGAUAGAGGAUUUAGAGAAAGAGAUUGAGAAGCUGAAGAUGGCUUUGACAACAAAGAGUGCAUCAAAUUCUUCAGCGUCCCCUAAGGUGACUCCGGCUGCCCAGCCGCCCAAGAUGAGUCCAGCUCUGAGUGCCCACAACCCUAUCAAUGAACCAGUAUUAGAGAAUGAUGCUAAGGAAGAGAUUGAGGACACAAAUGCCCUGAAUGAUGGCAAUGACUUUGAUCCUCAGUUAUAAUAAGUUUAGUUUUAUGAUUAGUUUGUAAUUGGUGGCCUGAUGGUGUGAUAAUUACAAUUACCAUGUAGAGGACAAAGAAUGAGGCUGAUGGUAGAAAGGCUAUAAGCUUAACUAAUGUACAUACCAAUGUAUGAAAUUGAACUGUUACAUAUUUCCAAACUGAUAAGAAAUUAUGUUCACUCCCUUUUAUAUAUUUAUGUAAUAAAAGUACAUAAUGUAUGUAUGUAUUGAAGUGAAUGAUAACAUAAAAAUAUGUUACUUUGAUAUGAUUGCAUUGAUGCACUAUUUUUUUGGUGUUAAUCCUUUUUGUUUAAUUAAAAAAGGUAUGUAGGUAACAUGAGUCCUGAAAAUAACUUGCCAUAUUGUUGCCUAUUUAUACUGUAAUAUUAUGAAAGGUCUAAAAAAAUCAAUAUUACUUGUGUAACUUACUUUUAAAACUUUUGUAGGUUUCACACCUACGAAAGUAUUCUUAAACUUGAUUUAUAAUUUUUCCAAUUGGGUAUUUUUUUAAACCUGUGGAAUUUGUUUUGUGCUAUUAAUCAAUAUCAUGUUCUUAUUAAAGCACAGUCACUCCAUAAGUGCAUUUACGUAAGUUAUUGUAUUUACAUGUUACUACAAUAUGCCUUUCUACUGUCAUAGUUCCAAAAAUGCAUUUGGUAUUUUUAAUUUUCUACUAUUAUACUCUAUGAUGUAAGGGCUCGAUAAAACUCCGCAAUUUAUGUGCAAUUUCAGGUUUAGCCAUAAUUAUUCAUACUCGACUAGUAAUUAUUUUAGAUAAGAUUUCUUAAAUCACAAGUAUUGUUAAUAUGGAUAUUGGUAUUAAUAGCUAGUUAGUAAAAGCCAUGUUGGUGCCAGAAAGAUGUAUUUAGAUCUGACAGGUGUAAUAGUUAUUUAUUUUGCUCAAUUUUUGAAAUUGAAUCCCAGUUCCCAAUUCAUUGAUUUAAUAAGAGUAGGCUUCCUAUAAAAAUUAAAAUAUUAAAUUAUUAAUGAAGUAUGUUUUGAAUUCUGUCGUCCAGUUAUGUACGUAUUUAUGUGUAAUAUUAGUAAUGUAAUGUUUUCGUAUUUGUCUUUUAUAUAGUUGAGGAAUAAAUUGUAUAGAUUUUUCCUUUUUUA